rnacentral:rRNA from 1 species
AUUGAACGCUGGCGGAAUGCUUUACACAUGCAAGUCGAACGGUAGAGGGGGCAACCCCUCGAGAGUGGCGAACGGGUGAGUAAUAUAUCGGAACGUGCCCAGUCGUGGGGGAUAACGUAGCGAAAGUUACGCUAAUACCGCAUACGAUCGAAGGAUGAAAGCGGGGGAUCGCAAGACCGCGCGCGAUCGGAGCGGCCGAUAUCAGAUUAGGUAGUUGGUGGGGUAAAGGCUCACCAAGCCAACGAUCUGUAGCUGGUCUGAGAGGACGACCAGCCACACUGGAACUGAGACACGGUCCAGACUCCUACGGGAGGCAGCAGUGGGGAAUUUUGGACAAUGGACGCAAGUCUGAUCCAGCCAUUCCGCGUGCAGGAUGAAGGCCCUCGGGUUGUAAACUGCUUUUGUACGGAACGAAAAGGUCUCUCUUAAUACGGGGGACUCAUGACGGUACCGUAAGAAUAAGCACCGGCUAACUACGUGCCAGCAGCCGCAGUAA